rnacentral:rRNA from 1 species
GACGAACCGAGCGAACGUUGUUCGGAAUCACUGGGCUUAAAGGGCGCGUAGGCGGGCUGUCAAGUCUGGGGUGAAAUCCCGCGGCUCAACCGUGGAACUGCCUCAGAUACUGACGGCCUCGAGGGAGGUAGGGGCGAGCGGAACUGUGAGUGGAGCGGUGAAAUGCGUUGAUAUUCACAGGAACUCCGGUGGCGAAGGCGGCUCGCUGGACCUUUUCUGACGCUGAGGCGCGAAAGCUAGGGAGCAAACGGG